UACGUAGGGUGCGAGCGUUGUCCGGAAUUAUUGGGCGUAAAGAGCUCGUAGGCGGUUUGUCGCGUCGGGAGUGAAAACCUCGGGCUUAACUCGGGGCUUGCUUUCGAUACGGGCAGACUAGAGGUAUGCAGGGGAGAACGGAAUUCCUGGUGUAGCGGUGAAAUGCGCAGAUAUCAGGAGGAACACCGGUGGCGAAGGCGGUUCUCUGGGCAUGAUCUGACGCUGAGGAGCGAAAGUGUGGGGAGCGAACAGG
rnacentral:rRNA from 1 species